AAUUUUGAUUGGAAAAAAAUGCAUCGAUAACUGUCGAUAAGGGGGUGUGGGAAAUGGAAAUUAGUGGCUUUUUUGCUGGACUGUCUGCUAGUUUUUGCUCUGGGCUCUGGCUAGAUCUCUUGUUUAAACAAUUUUAAUCAGCUGAAAGUGGCCUACAAAAAAAAACCAAGAAGGAAAUGUAUAGCCUUGUGGCUAUGAAAGGCAAAAGAGAGA
rnacentral:lncRNA from 1 species